rnacentral:rRNA from 1 species
UCGGGAAUCUUCCGCAAUGGGCGAAAGCCUGACGGAGCGACGCCGCGUGAGUGAUGAAGGCCUUCGGGUUGUAAAGCUCUGUGGGGAGGGAAGAAUAAGUUCAAGCGAAUACCUUGAAUGAUGACGGUACCUCCUUAGCAAGCACCGGCUAACUCUGUGCCAGCAGCCGCGGUAAGACAGAGGGUGCAAACGUUGUUCGGAUUUACUGGGCGUAAAGCGCGUGUAGGCGGCUUUGCAAGUCGGAUGUGAAAGCCCACGGCUCAACCGUGGAAGUGCAUCCGAAACUGCAUGGCUGGAGUCUCGGAGAGGAAGGUGGAAUGCUUGGUGUAGAGGUGAAAUUCGUAGAUAUCAAGCAGAACACCUGCGGCGAAGGCGGCCUUCUGGACGAUGACUGACGCUGAGACGCGAAAGCGUGGGGAGCAAACAGG